UUAGACAGGCGGCUUGUCUUGCUACUCUA
rnacentral:piRNA from 1 species